rnacentral:rRNA from 1 species
GAUGAACGCUAGCUACAGGCUUAACACAUGCAAGUCGAGGGGCAGCAUUUUAGUUUGCUUGCAAACUAAAGAUGGCGACCGGCGCACGGGUGAGUAACACGUAUCCAACCUGCCGAUAACUCGGGGAUAGCCUUUCGAAAGAAAGAUUAAUAUCCGAUAGUAUAUUAAAACCGCAUGGUUUUACUAUUAAAGAAUUUUGGUUAUCGAUGGGGAUGCGUUCCAUUAGUUUGUUGGCGGGGUAACGGCCCACCAAGACUACGAUGGAUAGGGGUUCUGAGAGGAAGGUCCCCCACAUUGGAACUGAGACACGGUCCAAACUCCUACGGGAGGCAGCAGUGAGGAAUAUUGGUCAAUGGGCGAGAGCCUGAACCAGCCAAGUAGCGUGAAGGAUGAAGGCUCUAUGGGUCGUAAACUUCUUUUAUAUGGGAAUAAAGUUUUCCACGUGUGGAAUUUUGUAUGUACCAUAUGAAUAAGGAUCGGCUAACUCCGUGCCAGCAGCCGCGGUAAUACGGAGGAUCCGAGCGUUAUCCGGAUUUAUUGGGUUUAAAGGGAGCGUAGGUGGAUUGUUAAGUCAGUUGUGAAAGUUUGCGGCUCAACCGUAAAAUUGCAGUUGAAACUGGCAGUCUUGAGUACAGUAGAGGUGGGCGGAAUUCGUGGUGUAGCGGUGAAAUGCUUAGAAAUCACGAAGAACUCCGAUUGCGAAGGCAGCUCACUAGACUGUCACUGACACUGAUGCUCGAAAGUGUGGGUAUCAAACAGGAUUAGAUACCCUGGUAGUCCACACAGUAAACGAUGAAUACUCGCUGUUUGCGAUAUACAGUAAGCGGCCAAGCGAAAGCAUUAAGUAUUCCACCUGGGGAGUACGCCGGCAACGGUGAAACUCAAAGGAAUUGACGGGGGCCCGCACAAGCGGAGGAACAUGUGGUUUAAUUCGAUGAUACGCGAGGAACCUUACCCGGGCUUAAAUUGCAACAGAAUAUAUUGGAAACAGUAUAGCCGUAAGGCUGUUGUGAAGGUGCUGCAUGGUUGUCGUCAGCUCGUGCCGUGAGGUGUCGGCUUAAGUGCCAUAACGAGCGCAACCCUUAUCUUUAGUUACUAACAGGUGAUGCUGAGGACUCUAGAGAGACUGCCGUCGUAAGAUGUGAGGAAGGUGGGGAUGACGUCAAAUCAGCACGGCCCUUACGUCCGGGGCUACACACGUGUUACAAUGGGGGGUACAGAAGGCUGCUACCUGGUGACAGGAUGCUAAUCCCAAAAACCUCUCUCAGUUCGGAUCGAAGUCUGCAACCCGACUUCGUGAAGCUGGAUUCGCUAGUAAUCGCGCAUCAGCCAUGGCGCGGUGAAUACGUUCCCGGGCCU